rnacentral:rRNA from 1 species
GACGAACGCUGGCGGCGUGCUUAACACAUGCAAGUCGAACGGAAAGGCCCUGCUUUUGUGGGGUGCUCGAGUGGCGAACGGGUGAGUAACACGUGAGUAACCUGCCCUUGACUUUGGGAUAACUUCAGGAAACUGGGGCUAAUACCGGAUAGGAGCUCCUGCUGCAUGGUGGGGGUUGGAAAGUUUCGGCGGUUGGGGAUGGACUCGCGGCUUAUCAGCUUGUUGGUGGGGUAGUGGCUUACCAAGGCUUUGACGGGUAGCCGGCCUGAGAGGGUGACCGGCGACAUUGGGACUAAGAUACGGACCAGACUCCUACGGGAGGCAGCAGUGGGGAAUAUUACACAAUGGGCGGGAGCCUGAUGCAGCAACGCCGCGUGCGGGAUGACGGCCUUCGGGUUGUAAACCGCUUUCGCCUGUGACGAAGCGUGAGUGACGGUAAUAGGUAAAGAAGCACCGGCUAACUACGUG